CUGAGCUUCAGGGACGUACUUGACUGCCGUGGGGAAUGCCCCGGAGCGACUCCGCUCCCUGCGGGCACUGACUCAGACUCGGAGAUUUGUGGCUCCUCCACGGGCCACGGGAGACCUGGGAAAGGAAACGUCCAUAAAUUGUGAGAGGUCCCAAACAGGGGAGCCCAGCACCGUCAGACAGCAGGGGUGGGGGACACUCCGGCGCUGGAGGGCUCAGCAGAGGGGGACAGCCGCUGGCCGGGGCGGGCUCGCUGCAGCGAUGCCCGUGCUCUGCGGGGGGGCUCCCAGGCCUCGGGGCUGGGCUGGUCCCCCCCACCCCGGGUCCAGACCCCUUGCUGCUACAUGUGUCGGGGGGUUAAGCCUCCCUGAGUGUUGCUGGGUGUUGGCUAGAGCCGGGCUGGGCUGGGCCUGCGCUCCUGCGGGGACCAAAGCCAGAGGGUUGUGGCUGGAGGGCGAGAGGACAAUCUGGGAAAAAAACUGGGAAGCUGGGCUGACCUAAACCCCGAACAUUUGAUUAUAUUUAGAAAAAGCACCCAGACAGAAAUCCGAGGAUGCACAAAGACGACGUGUUUGGGAAAACCCGGCUGUAUGGUAACCCUAAUAUGUCCCCAAUAGAUCUCCCCGCGGAAGGAGAGGACCUUUCCCUUGAUCCCUGCUGGCAGAAGGCCAGUACUUGACCUGGCAAAGGAUCAUGGUUGCGUUGUUCAAUUAAACUCUGUUUAAGCCUGGCGCUGCAGUGCUCUUCCCCUCUUCCGCUCCUCCCCUCGCAAAGGAAGGGAAGAAAAGGUUGUAACGUCAGGGAGAACAUCUGGAAAAAAUCUGGACUUUUCAACUAUGCUUCAGUGAUGAGCAACUUAAAAGGUGGUUCAAGGUUCAAACUAAAAUAUGCAACCCUCCUGCCUCUUCGGCUUCUAGCAGAGCGCUCAUCACACAAGAUGCCAGAUCGCACCAGGACACGCACAUUGAUUUAUGGCUUCACCAAGAGCGCGCGGAGCCUCAUCGGCCACUGACUCAACCUCUGCUCAGCCAAAAGCUGGAGCCCUAGCUGCUGCUGUGGCUUUGACUUCCCCUUUCUCCCGAACCCAGGCGUGCGGCACCGAGGGAGACCCCAGACCCGGCUCGGCGAGACCCCAGGUGUCCCACCUACCCCCCAGGAUGUCUGAGGAUCCUCCAGGGCAGGAGCGCCGCCCACUGGUGGCUGUGGACGGCGUCCCAUUGCCCGAAAAGACAUGGGAAAACUGGGCCCAGAUCAAGGCCUUCCAGGCUAAGCCUGACGACCUCCUCAUCUGCACUUACCCCAAGGCAGGCACCACCUGGAUCCAGGAGAUCGUGGACAUGAUCCAGCAGGGUGGGGACCCCGAGAAGUGCCGUCGGGCCCCACUUCAUGAACGGCACCCCUUCCUGGAGUGGGCCCGCAGCCCUCAGUCCACUGGGGUGGCCUGGGCUGACGCCAUGCCCCCCCCGCGGACCCUCAAGACCCACCUCCCUGUGAAGCUCCUGCCUGCGUCCUUCUGGGAACAGGGCUGCAAGGUGGUGUACAUGGCGCGGAACCCCAAGGACUCAGCCGUGUCCUACUACCACUUCCUGCGCAUGCACCAGCUCCUGCCCCAGCCGGGGCCCUGGCCCCAAUUCCUCGAGGCCUUCAUGGCGGGAACAGUGCCCUGGGGGUCGUGGCACGAGCACGUCAGGGGCUGGUGGCGGGCACGGGAGGUGCUGCCCCUGCUCUUCCUCCACUACGAGGACCUUAAGGAGGACCCAGGGCGAGAGAUCCAGCGGGUGGCCCAGUUCAUUGGGCAGCCCCUGGCGCCGGCUGCACUGGAAAGGGUCGUGCACCACACCUCCUUCGAGGUCAUGCGGGCCAACCCGGCCACCAACCGGGCCAGCGCGCCCCGCUCCGUCCUGGACCAGAGCAUCUCCCCCUUCAUGCGCAAGGGGACCGUGGGUGACUGGAAGAACCACUUCACCGUGGCCCAGAGCGAGCACUUCGACCGGGACUGCGCCAGCAAGACGGCGGGCACCGGCCUGGCCUUCCGCACCGAGCUCUGAGGCCGCGGGCGUGCGGGCUCCCAGACCCCCCACUCCCACCCCCACGUAUCCCAGCGAGCCCAGCUCCAGUGCAGCCCCCCCACAGUGAUGCCUGGGUUCGCUGGGAGGGGCCUGGAAGCUGGUGAGCGAGAGCAAGGCAUGCUGGGAGCCCGGAUGCCUGUGUUCGCUGGGAGAAGGAGGGGCUCACAGCACGGAGGGCGGAGCUUCUUGAGGAAGAGGUGGGACUGCCCAGAAAGGAGGCGGAGCUACCUGGGAGGACCAGCCCAAUGG